rnacentral:rRNA from 1 species
CGGCAGGCCUAAUACAUGCAAGUCGAACGGUGGUAGCAAUACCAUAGUGGCGCACGGGUGCGUAACGCGUAGGCAAUCUGCCUACACCUGGGGGAUAGCCCGCCGAAAGGUGGAUUAAUACCGCAUAACACCACAGCACGGCAUCGUGCAAUGGUUAAAGAAUUUCGGGUGUAGAUGAGCCUGCGUGCCAUUAGCUAGUUGGCGGGGUAAGGGCCCACCAAGGCGACGAUGGCUAGGGGAGCUGAGAGGCCGAUCCCCCACACUGGCACUGAGAUACGGGCCAGACUCCUACGGGAGGCAGCAGUAGGGAACAUUGGGCAAUGGGCGCGAGCCUGACCCAGCCAUGCCGCGUGACGGAUGAAGGCCUUCUGGGUUGUAAACGUCUUUUGCCCGGGAAGAAAAAACUCUUGCGAGAGGAAUCGACGGUACCGGGUGAAUAAGCACCGGCUAACUCCGUGCCAGCAGCCGCGGUAAUACGGAGGGUGCAAGCGUUGUCCGGAUUUAUUGGGUUUAAAGGGUGCGUAGGUGGCCCUGCAAGUCCGUGGUGAAAGCCUGCCGCUUAACGGCAGAACUGCCAUGGAUACUACAGGGCUUGAGUCCAGACGAGGUUGGCGGAAUGGAUGGUGUAGCGGUGAAAUGCAUAGAUACCAUCCAGAACCCCGAUUGCGUAGGCAGCUGACUAGGCUGGUACUGACACUGAGGCACGAAAGCGUGGGGAGCGAACAGGAUUAGAUACCCUGGUAGUCCACGCCGUAAACGAUGGAUACUCGCUGUGGGCGAUACACAGUCCGCGGCUUAGCGAAAGCGUUAAGUAUCCCACCUGGGGAGUACGCCGGCAACGGUGAAACUCAAAGGAAUUGACGGGGGCCCGCACAAGUGGUGGAGCAUGUGGUUUAAUUCGAUGAUACGCGAGGAACCUUACCGAGGCUAGAAUGCGCGUGACCGGUU